CCUCCCAAAGUGCUGGGAUUACAGGUGUGAGCCACUGUGCCCGGCCUCAUAUAAUUUCUUUCAUUAGCCUUUUGUAGUUUUCCUUAUAGAGAUGAUUCACCUCCUUGGUUAGCUAUAUUCCUAGAUAUUUUAUUUUCUUUGUGCCUGUUGUAAAUGGGAUUGUGUUCUUGAUUUGACUCUCAGCCUGGACAUUAUUGUUGUGUAGAAAUGCU
rnacentral:lncRNA from 1 species